GAAGCUCUUCCAAUGUGGUUUAAGAACAUUUUUUAAUGCCGCAGUUAUAAAUUUACACAAAACCGUCGCAAUUCAUCAUGUUCCCACAAGAAUCUUACUUCAGAUUGACCUCGUUAUAAAAUCAAACCUUAUUUCAUCCCGGAUUUCAGACACCAUCAGCUAAAGCAGUCUAAUUCAGUAUUAAUGUACAGUGAAAAGCUUUUGUUGCGUGCUAUCCAGUCAGCGCAAAGACAAUACAUGAUUACAAUCAAAACCGUCCACAGAGUACAAACAGGUAAUGAUAGCCCACUGCUAUUACACAUUCAAAUCAGAUAUUCAGCAGAGCAGGAGCCAAGAAUGUGU